GAUGAAGAACGUAGCGAAAUGCGAUAAGUAAUGUGAAUUGCAGAAUUCAGUGAAUCAUCGAAUCUUUGAACGCACAUUGCGCCCGCCAGUAUUCUGGCGGGCAUGCCUGUUCGAGCGUCAUUUCAACCAUCAAGCCCCAGGCUUGUGUUGGGGACCUGCGGCUGCCGCAGGCCCUGAAAACCAGUGGCGGGCUCGCUGUCACACCGGGCGUAGUAGAUUUUAUCUCGCUCAGGGCGUGCUGCGGGUUCCGGCCGUUAAAAAGCCUUUUUUUACCCAAGGUUGACCUCGGAUCAGGUAGGAAGACCCGCUGAACUUAAGCAUAUCAAUAAGCGGAGGA
rnacentral:misc_RNA from 1 species